rnacentral:rRNA from 1 species
UUCCGUAGGGUGAACCUGCGGAGGGAUCAUUGCUGGAACGCGCUUCGGCGCACCCAGAAACCCUUUGUGAACUUAUACCUAUUUGUUGCCUCGGCGCAGGCCGGCCUCUUCACUGAGGCCCCCUGGAAACAGGGAGCAGCCCGCCGGCGGCCAACUAAACUCUUGUUUCUUUAGUGAAUCUCUGAGUAAAAAACAUAAAUGAAUCAAAACUUUCAACAACGGAUCUCUUGGUUCUGGCAUCGAUGAAGAACGCAGCGAAAUGCGAUAAGUAAUGUGAAUUGCAGAAUUCAGUGAAUCAUCGAAUCUUUGAACGCACAUUGCGCCCUCUGGUAUUCCGGAGGGCAUGCCUGUUCGAGCGUCAUUUCAACCCUCAAGCCUGGCUUGGUGAUGGGGCACUGCCUUCUAACGAGGGCAGGCCCUGAAAUCUAGUGGCGAGCUCGCUAGGACCCCGAGCGUAGUAGUUAUAUCUCGUUCUGGAAGGCCCUGGCGGUGCCCUGCCGUUAAACCCCCAACUUCUGAAAAUUUGACCUCGGAUCAGGUAG